CGACUGCUGAGGAGUCCCACAAUAGGACGAAACGGCCGUCCAGUGC
rfam:Schistosoma curassoni strain Dakar, Senegal genome assembly, scaffold: SCTD_scaffold0007430